rnacentral:rRNA from 1 species
UACAGAGGUCCCGAGCGUUGUUCGGAUUCAUUGGGCGUAAAGGGUGCGUAGGCGGUCCACUAAGUUUGAUGUGAAAUCCCGGGGCUCAACCCUGGAAUUGCAUUGAAUACUGGAGGACUAGAGUACCGGAGAGGAAACUGGAAUUCCCGGUGUAGCGGUGAAAUGCGCAGAGAUCGGGAGGAACACCAAUGGCGAAAGCAGGUAACUGGACCAUUACUGACACUCAGCUGCGAAAGCUAGGGGAGCAAACAGG